rnacentral:lncRNA from 1 species
GGGACCUUGACUGCAGGUUCAUUGUGCGUCGGCGGGGCACCGACCAGUGCCGUCUGGAGUUGCUGUUCGUGCGUUUCGACGUGGACUGCAACCAGGACCAGUUCCGCGUGCAAGACGUCCAAAUAUGUGGCAGACUGGAUCACUACUCCACGCGCACCUACGACUUCGAAGGACCCGAGUUGUAUCUGUACUACCACACCCGAUCGGGCGGCCGUGCCUCCGACUUCCUUAUCAAGGGACGUCAGAAGGGAUGCGCGCAAGCCGGAAG